UACGUAGGGGGCAAGCGUUGUCCGGAUUUAUUGGGCGUAAAGAGCGUGUAGGCGGCCAGAUAGGUCAGCUGUGAAAACUCGAGGCUCAACCUCGAGACGUCGGUUGAAACCAUCUGGCUAGAGUCCGGAAGAGGAGAGUGGAAUUCCCGGUGUAGCGGUGAAAUGCGCAGAUAUCGGGAAGAACACCCGUGGCGAAGGCGGCUCACUCGGUCCGGUACUGACGCUGAGGUGCGAAAGCGUGGGAGCAAACAGGG
rnacentral:rRNA from 1 species